rnacentral:tRNA from 1 species
GGGCCGCUAGCUCAGUCGGUAGAGCACCGGACUUUUAAUCCGUGGGUCGCGGGUUCAAGUCCCGCGCGGCCCACCA